rnacentral:rRNA from 1 species
AUUGAACGCUGGCGGCGGGCCUAAUACAUGCAAGUCGAACGGAGUGGCGCGCGGGUGAGUAAUGUAUAUCUAGUCUGCCCUACACUAGAGGGCAACAGUUGGAAAAGACUGCUAAUAAUCUCAAGUGUAGGAUGAGGCUAUAUUGUAUCAGCUAGUUGGUGAGGUAAUGGCUCACCAAGGCUAUGACGCAUAACUGGUCUGAGAGGAUGAGCAGUCAACCUUGACCUGAGACACGGGGCAGAAUUCUACGGGAGGGAGCAGUAGCGAAAAGUGCUCAAGGGGGGAGUCCGAGAAGCGGCUACGCGUCGUGGAGUACGUUACUUUUCGAGGCGUACACUCCUUUUGUUAUCGAAACGGUACCUACCGAAUAAGCACCGGCUAACUCCGUGCCAGCAGCCGCGGUAAUUC